UACGUAGGUGGCAAGCGUUGUCCGGAAUUAUUGGGCGUAAAGCGCGCGCAGGCGGUCCUUUAAGUCUGGUGUGAAAGCCCACGGCUCAACCGUGGAAGGUCAUUGGAAACUGGGGGACUUGAGUGCAGAAGAGGAAAGUGGAAUUCCAAGUGUAGCGGUGAAAUGCGUAGAGAUUUGGAGGAACACCAGUGGCGAAGGCGACUUGCUGGUCUGUAACUGACGCUGAGGCGCGAAAGCGUGGGGAGCAAACAGG
rnacentral:rRNA from 1 species